CAUUUCUAUUCUGCGGCUCAGACAAACCUGCUGUUAAGUUUACCCAGCUGACAAAUGAAGGAGGACAUGAAGCUAUACCUAUACUAGAGAAAGGGAUUAGCAUCUUUGGUGAAGUGAUAGCUCGGAGUUAUGUGGCUUGCAAUACAAAACGACAAGUGGGGCUUGUGGAUUGGGAAACAGAGGGAAAGGGGCGUCGCUUGUGGCGUGGCAGAGGAGACGGAUUAUGGGGUGGGCUGGCUUUAUCGCGAGACAGUCACAACGGGGAAAAGGAACAUACUGUUCAUGCUCCUCUCACCUCUUCCUUCUCUUCCUUUUAUUUAUUUUUUAUUUCAAUUAAUUAUAUUGAGUUAGGGUUUAAAUGGGUUAAUUCGAGAUGAAUGAUGUCUGAUGUUUCAAUGGCAGUGAUGUUAUCGUGAGUCUCCUGAGUAUUUGAUUUGUUCCAUUUGAUUGGACCGAAGGUUAUUUGAGAAUAAAAAAUAAGCAAGGGUCGAUGGUUAGUUUACAGUCACUAAUAAAUUUAGAGAGUAAAAUAUAAUUAAUUUUGUAAAAAAUUUAUUAACGUGCAUUAAUAUGAGCUUUUAUAAGG
rnacentral:misc_RNA from 1 species